GAGUGAUUGACGAAGGAGUAUAGCUUCCACCACCAUCACCGUCCACCAUUCAUCGCUAGACCAUUGUCAGGUGCAUCAUUGCUGCCAUCACAGUUGACAGAUGAGCCAUUCCCACCAGUCGCGCCAUUCACCAUUGACAGUCAUCCAAACUUGAUUUCAAAAUUUUCAAUCUCGCUGAAGUGGAUUGAAGGAGUGUAGCUUCUACCACCAUCACCGUCCAUCGUCGUCCGCCAUCAGAUGAGGGGACGCGAAAGGUUUAAGAAGCCCAGAAGGCCGAUUCGACUACCUGACCAUACAAGUCAGGAGGAGCCGACUACAAUUGACGUAACAGAGCAUCAGCCACAGGUACCACGGACAUCGAUGGGACUUACUAAUAUAGAGCUUCAAAUAUGUGUACCACUUGCAUCCGGAGUACAACCAUCUCAUAGUGAUCGAUCAUGUCCACCAGUUCCUCCCUAUACCAUUGCAUUUCCUCCCCGUCCCCUUGCAGCUUCUCCCCGUCCCACUACAGCUCCUACCCGUCCCAUUGCAACUACACGACCUUUGGUAUCACAUUCACAAUCAUCUCAUCUUGCAUUCUCUUUUGCUGCUGCAUCAGCUAGUGCAGCAGGAUCUACAUCAGCUAGUGCAGCAGGAUCUGCAGGUUCGACCACUUUUGUAGGCAG